GCUCCGCCCCGCUCCGGCCCUUCCGCCGCCGCCCCAUCACUUCCUCCGCCCCUGAGGCGCUCUGAGGCGGGGCUGGUUCAGCGCUGGCGAUGGCACCGGGAUCACCUGCGGGAUCGGCUCCGGGAUCUCCCCGGCUGGAGGGGCCGUCCCGGGGUGCCAGUCCUGCCGGGCACCGCCCCGGCAGCGCUGCCGGCCGGCUGGAGGGGCCGUCCCGGGGUGCCAGUCCCGCCGGGCACCGCCCCGGCAGCGCUGCCGGCCCGACGCGGCUGCCGCUGGACCGGGCCUUCCCCCGCUCGGCGCGGGGCGCGGUGAAGAUCGCCCGCACGAUGGUGGCGCUGGCCGCCUUCAUACGCUUCCUGACCGCGGGCGAGCAGCUGUUCUACGCGGCGUAUGCCGGCCUGGACACGGUGAUCAUCGUCUUCUUUCUGCUGCUCUACCUGCUGAGGCUCGACGCGCGGAUGCGGUGGCUCCCCUGGCCGCUAGCUGAUAUUUUCAUGUCGGGGACGUCAGUGAUGUUUCUCAUCCCUGUGGGCUUGACUGCAGUAAAAAUCAAGACCAACAAGUGGAUAAUGGAUGGAGGAGUAAGUAGGAACCUUGUUAACGAAUUUCAGUUCUUAAAGUGCAGUGAUUUGAACCUCUUGGUACACUGACAUUGUGGAAGGACCAUGCAAACAACUGUCUUGGAAGAACAUUCAGCAGUAGCAAACAAGGUGUUGAGUCUUAUAUUGCUUGCUCUCUGCCUUGUUGACAUAUUUCUUCUUUCGGAGAAGAUUAGCCUUGAGAAAGCAAGAGAAAGGAGUGCUGCCAGUUAAGAUUGAUGUGUUAGUGAAAGAAUGAGUUCUCCAUCCCGUUUCCCCACUGUCUUUUAAAGACAGUAAAGUAUUUUCACAUACUCGAUUUUGAAUUUCCUGUGCACUGAUGUUUCUGCAAGUACCAUUCAUAAGUUUUCAUACUUUUCCAAAUGCAGUUUCAGCGUUGCAAUUUCACCAGUUAAAGCUUCAGAGAGAAUUGUCAUGUUUUUCUAAACUUAAUUGUGUUUUUACCUGUACGAAAAUUAUUUUCAUGGUUGUCGUCUUUCUCUAAUAAAAAAGAAAAUAAAAACGA